AUUGAACGCUGGCGGCAGGCUUAACACAUGCAAGUCGAGCGGGGUGAUGGUGCUUGCACUAUCACUUAGCGGCGGACGGGUGAGUAAUGCUUAGGAAUCUGCCUAUUAGUGGGGGACAACAUCUCGAAAGGGAUGCUAAUACCGCAUACGUCCUACGGGAGAAAGCAGGGGAUCACUUGUGACCUUGCGCUAAUAGAUGAGCCUAAGUCGGAUUAGCUAGUUGGUGGGGUAAAGGCCUACCAAGGCGACGAUCUGUAGCGGGUCUGAGAGGAUGAUCCGCCACACUGGGACUGAGACACGGCCCAGACUCCUACGGGAGGCAGCAGUGGGGAAUAUUUGACAAUGGGGGGAACCCUGAUCCAGCCAUGCCGCGUGUGUGAAAAAGGCCUUAUGGUUGUAAAGCACUUUAAGCGAGGAGGAGGCUCUUUUGGUUAAUACCCAAGAUGAGUGGACGUUACUCGCAGAAUAAGCACCGGCUAACUCUGUGCCAGCCGCCGCAGUAA
rnacentral:rRNA from 1 species